UCCUGAGGUUUACCGAGACCGUUUCCUUUCCUACAAAUCAUUUUACAACCCUAAGGCCUUCUUCCUUCACGCGGCAUUGCUGGAUCAGGCUUGCGCCCAUUGUCCAAAAUUCCCCACUGCCGCCCCCCGUAGG
rnacentral:rRNA from 1 species